rnacentral:lncRNA from 1 species
UGGGGGAUCCACACUCGAAGUAGGUGGGAGAGUGCUGGAACACUAACGCAUGCCAUGGCCUCCCAUCAGAGGCAAUACCUUAUGCUUGACAAAUUGAGAAUUGGCAUCUAGUGACUUGGUUUAUUGAGAACUAGAUUAUAUAAAAAAUAUGUGUCCGGGAAAAACAUUUAAAUACUAUUUUGCCUGCCAGAGAGAAAUCUACCCUUAGUGGCUCACGGUGAUGUAGCUUAGAGAAGCUUAACCUUGCUGACUCUAUAUACAACAAAAUUAAUAAGAUGCGUUUGGCAUUUACCAACAGUGAACAAGCACGAGCAGUGGAAUGCAAAAAUGUGUGCUGAUCAAAUGAACGUGAAAAUCUUCACCCAGGUCACCCGCCAGAAUCAGACUAAGGUCCCUGCUAUUUAAUGGAAAGGUUAAAAGAAGUUUACAGCUUUAAUGCCUGUGGCACACUGAUUACUUAAGAUUUUGAGGAUUAAAGCCUAUGAGAGCCUUUCGAGCAAGUUU